UCAAGUUGAAAUCUCUCAUUUUCUUGCUCAAGGAUCCUGCAUUAUUAACAAACUUCUUUUCUUUCUUGAAAGAAAGUCAUUAGUUGCUUCAAGAUACAAAAUAUUCAUACAACAUAUUUCUUAACUAGAUGACUCAACAUAAGAUAUGACAAUAAUUGAAUGUUGAGUCACUUUACUCAAGAGAUUGCCUAAAUAUAAGCAAGCACAUGUCACUUGAACUAAAGAGAUAGUUUCAUUAACCAAGAUGGUUCAAGAACAAGCAUGUGAGGCAAUAGGAAAAUUCAUCAAGGUUAAAUCAAUUUCUUAUUUUCAGAAUCAAUUUAGCUUAGAUUCUAUUUGCAUUAAGAUAAUUAUCAAUAAAAUAUACAAGUUGAAUUUUAAUCAGAUUAUCUUAAAUAGUUGUUUCUAUCAAAAUUCUGAUUAUGAUUUAGCUUUCAACACAGAUACUCUUGUUUCAGGAAGACAAGCAAUCUUCUUUUAGAAAAAAUAAGAAAUAUUUUUGACUUAUGAGAGAUAGCUCAAGAAAAUUAAUAUUCAUGCUUUAACAGAUUUUUAUGCUCAGAUUAAACAUGAUGAGUUAAAAUUAAUCAGUGGAAUUUGAGAUUAUUUUAGGAAAAGAUAUUAAUCAUGGAUACAAUGAUUAUGCUCAAUGAAAUAUUUUAAUGAUCAGAUUUAUUGAUUUUGAAUUUUAGAAUAGUCUUGAGCAUUACUUGUAAGAGGGAAGACGAUUUGUUAUUAUAGAAACUUUUAAGUAAGUUUCUUAUUAUGAUCAUAACACAUUAAUCAUUUAUGAUUGAACCAAUUUGAAAUGAUUAUGAUUUAACCUAUGAUGCAUAUAUGAUACUUAUAAAGCAAAUCAUAAUACAUUUCAGAUAAUCAUAUAAGGAAUGAAUGGUAUAAUAACAUGAUGAAUUACAUUCAUACCUUUAC
rnacentral:lncRNA from 1 species